rnacentral:tRNA from 1 species
GUCCCCAUCGUCUAGAGGCCCAGGACAAUGCCCUUUCACGGCAUGAACCGGAGUUCGAAUCUCCGUGGGGACG